GUUCUCGUCUUCCUCCUUCAACCAGCUCUCUUAGAGAAUGGAGGUCGGAUGAUGCAAGAGAUGAAUGAAAUACUGCUUGAGAUGGUCCGAGGGAGCCUUCAUUAACAGAUGGUGCGGUGCUGGCAGUGAGGAGUCACCAUCGCUGUGGGUCAGUGCACCGGAGCUGAUGGCCUGUGGGACCGGUGGCGCAAGUGCAGGUUUUCAGUGGCUCCUGCCCAGCGAGUGGAAGCUGUAAUGGUGCAAAUCAAACCCAAUAAAGUGUGGCUUUGUCUAACA